GAUGAACGCUGGCGGCGUGCCUAAUACAUGCAAGUCGAGCGAACGGAUAAGGAGCUUGCUCCUUUGAAGUUAGCGGCGGGCGGGUGAGUAACACGUGGGUAACCUACCUAUAAGACUGGAAUAACUUCGGGAAACCGGAGCUAAUGCCGGAUAACAUUUGGAACUGCAUGGUUCCAAAGUAAAAGAUGGUUUUGCUAUCACUUAUAGAUGGACCCGCGCCGUAUUAGCUAGUUGGUAAGGUAACGGCUUACCAAGGCAACGAUACGUAGCCGACCUGAGAGGGUGAUCGGCCACACUGGAACUGAGACACGGUCCAGACUCCUACGGGAGGCAGCAGUAGGGAAUCUUCCGCAAUGGACGAAAGUCUGACGGAGCAACGCCGCGUGAGUGAUGAAGGUUUUCGGAUCGUAAAACUCUGUUAUUAGGGAAGAACAAAUGUGUAAGUAACUGUGCACAUCUUGACGGUACCUAAUCAGAAAGCCACGGCUAACUACGUGCCAGCAGCCGCCGUAA
rnacentral:rRNA from 1 species